GACGAACGCUGGCGGCGUGCUUAACACAUGCAAGUCGUACGGUAAGGCCCUUCCUGGGGUACACGCGUGACGGACGAGCGGGUAACACGUGCGUAACCUGCCUACCACUUACGGAUAAAGCACGGCAACUGAUGCUAAUUCUGGCUAUGUACUACUGCCGCAUGGUGGGGGUUGGAAGGCUCCGGCGGUUGUGGGUGGACUCGCGGCCUAUCAGCUUGUUUGUGGGGUAGUGGCCUACCAAGGAGGCGGAGGGUAGCCAGCCUGGGAGGGUGACCGGCCACAUUUGGACUUGGAUACGGCCCAGACUCCUACGGGGGGGAGCCGGUGGGAAAUAUGGACAAUGGGGGCGAGCCCGAAGCAGCAACGCCGCGUGCGGGAUGACGGGCUUCGGGUUGGAAACCGCUUUCAGCAGGGACGAAGCUGUGUGUGACGGUACCUGCAGAAGAAGCACCGGCUAACUACGUG
rnacentral:rRNA from 1 species